rnacentral:rRNA from 1 species
GACGAACGCUGGCGGCGUGCCUAAUACAUGCAAGUUGAGCGCUGAAGGUUGGUACUUGUACCAACUGGAUGAGCAGCGAACGGGUGAGUAACGCGUGGGGAAUCUGCCUUUGAGCGGGGGACAACAUUUGGAAACGAAUGCUAAUACCGCAUAAAAACUUUAAACACAAGUUUUAAGUUUGAAAGAUGCAAUUGCAUCACUCAAAGAUGAUCCCGCGUUGUAUUAGCUAGUUGGUGAGGUAAAGGCUCACCAAGGCGAUGAUACAUAGCCGACCUGAGAGGGUGAUCGGCCACAUUGGGACUGAGACACGGCCCAAACUCCUACGGGAGGCAGCAGUAGGGAAUCUUCGGCAAUGGACGAAAGUCUGACCGAGCAACGCCGCGUGAGUGAAGAAGGUUUUCGGAUCGUAAAACUCUGUUGGUAGAGAAGAACGUUGGUGAGAGUGGAAAGCUCAUCAAGUGACGGUAACUACCCA